GCUGGGCGUGGUGGCGGGCGCCUGUAGUCCCAGCUACUCGGAGGCUGAGGCGGGAGAAUGGCGUGAACCCGGGAGGUGGAGCUUGCAGUGAGCCGAGAUCGCGCCACUGCACUCCAGCCUGGGCGACAGAGCCAGACUCCGUCUCAC
rnacentral:SRP_RNA from 1 species